GGGCGCUUAACUCAGCGGAAGAGUGACGCCUUCACACGGCGUAAGUCGUAGGUUCAAUCCCUACAGCGCCCA
rnacentral:tRNA from 1 species